rnacentral:rRNA from 1 species
GAUGAACGCUGGCGGCGUGCCUAACACACGCAAGUCGAACGAAGCACCUUACCUGAUUCUUCGGAUGAAAGUUUGGUGACUGAGUGGCGGACGGGUGAGUAACGCGUGGGUAACCUGCCCUGUACAGGGGGAUAACAGCUGGAAACGGCUGCUAAUACCGCAUAAGCGCACGAGGAGACAUCUCCUUGUGUGAAAAACUCCGGUGGUACAGGAUGGGCCCGCGUCUGAUUAGCUGGUUGGCAGGGUAACGGCCUACCAAGGCAACGAUCAGUAGCCGGUCUGAGAGGAUGAACGGCCACAUUGGAACUGAGACACGGUCCAAACUCCUACGGGAAGCAGCAGUGGGGAAUAUUGCACAAUGGGGGAAACCCUGAUGCAGCAACGCCGCGUGAGUGAAGAAGUAUUUCGGUAUGUAAAGCUCUAUCAGCAGGGAAGAUAAUGACGGUACCUGACUAAGAAGCUCCGGCUAAAUACGUG